CGUGGCCAAACGUCGUGUCAAAGCCUGAUCUCGUCACAUCUGAGAAGCUAAGCAAGGGCAGGUUUGAUUAGGACUUGAAUGGGAGACCGCUGGGAUUAUUAAGUGGGACAGUGG
rnacentral:rRNA from 1 species